UACGUAGGGUGCAAGCGUUGUCCGGAAUUAUUGGGCGUAAAGAGCUCGUAGGCGGUCUGUCGCGUCUGCUGUGAAAACUCGGGGCUUAACCCCGGGGCUGCAGUGGGUACGGGCAGACUAGAGUGCGGUAGGGGAGACUGGAAUUCCUGGUGUAGCGGUGAAAUGCGCAGAUAUCAGGAGGAACACCGGUGGCGAAGGCGGGUCUCUGGGCCGUAACUGACGCUGAGGAGCGAAAGCAUGGGGAGCGAACAGG
rnacentral:rRNA from 1 species